rnacentral:rRNA from 1 species
UACGUAGGGGGCUAGCGUUGUCCGGAAUCAUUGGGCGUAAAGCGCGUGUAGGCGGCUCGGUAAGUCCGCUCUGAAAGCCCGGGGCUCAACCCCGGGAGGCGGGUGGAUACUGCCGGGCUAGAGUCCGGAAGAGGCGAGUGGAAUUCCUGGUGUAGCGGUGAAAUGCGUAGAGAUCAGGAAGAACACCAGUGGCGAAGGCGGCGCGCUGGAUCUCUUCUGACGCUGAGGCGCGAAAGCCAGGGGAGCGAACGGG